AGAGUGUUGAAGAAAAGAUUUCUCGGCAUGCUCAAGAUGGAACAAUCACCACCAGGGAUAUUGUGGUGCAGUUCAAUGCUGACGCGGCGGAUGGAAUGCCUUGGAAGUUUAUUCCCACACAACGAGAGGUAAAGGUGAAGCCGGGAGAAAGUGCCCUUGCAUUUUAUA